AUUCACUUCCAUGUUCCUGCUGGUUCAUAGGAAUAGAAUAAGGUUAAAGCUCUCUCUAGGUUCCUUCUCUGUACUGUAUAUCAUUGCAAAUCAGUAGGAAACACUAUACUGUUCCCGUAUAUUCUUAAACGGUCUCCUCUCCUCCCCCCAACCCCUUGUUUUCUCUCAUAACACCUGAUCCCAAAAGCACGGGAUAGGUGUCUACUACUAUAACAGCCUCCUGCUUUCACCUAUCCCGAUGUGGUCAAGGAGGAAAGGAGCUGAUUAAGACUGUUGGGACACAACACAGGGAGGAACCAUUCCAACCUUUAAACACAUAGUGGUGUCUCAAUAGUCUACUCUAAAGAGGGCUUCCUUCAUUUGCACUGAUGUGAAACAACUGGGUAUAUGAAAGCAACCUCCUUAGUGUGCAUGUAUGUGCCAUGAUUACUUUCACCUAUCGUGUGUUUUCAGAGGAGAGGAGAGGAGCGAGAGAGAGUAGACUAUUGACAUAUAGCUUCCUAGACACUAAUACUCACUGCCAUCCUUCACUGAUGGUCCUAGCCAGCUCAGCCAAUCCGUAUCACCCAUGCAAAUGAGACGGUGGGAGCUGUGCACUGAUUGGAGUUCUCUCUCUCCCCUUUGUCAUCGCCAUGGCAAGAGUUUGGAGACGCUUGGCUGCUGGUCUGUGAGCGAGGGAUCACUCUGCCAAAGGGAGGAGGAGAGGGAGGAGAGAGGGAGGGAGAGAGGAGAGAGAGUAGGGCAGAGUGGGCGGGGAUACAGGGGGAAGUGAAGAGGGGGGAAAGAGGCCGAGAGAGGAAGAGAGAGAGGGAGGUAGAGAGAAAUAGAGAGAGAUUGGGUGAGAGACAGAGAAAUAGAGAGAGGCAUCAUCUCUCUGAUGCUGAGUCACAGACAGGGGGUGCAGCCGCUGUAUCCCAUGAGCCUUUAGGGGAAACAUGGAGGAGCUCGAGCACACCUGCCCCCAGCUGGUCACGAUGCUGACAGAGCCUGCUAUCUUUGCCAAGGACACCAGCUGUGAGUGCCGCGCCCCUCAUGAGAAACUCUCCAUCGCUCAGGCCCGCAGAGGCACCCCAAUGGACCGUCCUGUGCGUGUAUAUGCAGAUGGAAUAUUUGAUCUGUUCCACUCCGGUCAUGCCAGAGCCCUGAUGCAGGCCAAGAACCUCUUCCCCAAUGCAUACCUCAUAGUGGGAGUGUGCAGUGAUGAGCUGACCCACAAGUACAAGGGUUUCACAGUGAUGACGGAGGAUGAGAGGUACGAGGCUCUGAGACACUGUCGCUAUGUGGACGAGGUGGUCCGAGACGCACCAUGGACGCUCACACAGGACUUCCUGGAGAAACACCAGAUCGAUUUUGUGGCUCAUGACGAUAUCCCAUACUCCUCAGCAGGAACUGAGGACGUCUACAAACACAUCAAGGAGGCAGGCAUGUUUGUGCCGACCCAGCGGACGGAGGGUAUCUCGACCUCUGACCUGAUCACUCGUAUCGUACGAGACUACGACCUCUACGCUAGACGCAACCUACAGCGAGGCUACACCGCUAAAGAGCUCAACGUCAGCUUCAUCAACGUAUGUGUGUCUGUCUGUCUACCCUUAACAGAACUGUCGCUUUUGUGUCUGUGUGUACACUUAGAACUGUCAAAAAACACAGACAUACAGUACAGCCAACCUCCCUCCAACCUCCCUCCACCCACCUCCCUCCCUUCAACAUCCCUCCAACCUCCUUCCACCAACCUCCUUCAACCUCCCUCCCUUCAACCUCCCUCCAACCUCCUUCCACCAACCUCCCUCCCUUCAACAUUCCUCCAAUCUCCUUCCAACCUCCUUCCACCAACCUCCCUCCCUUCAACAUUCCUCCAACCUCCUUCCAACCUCCCUCCACCAACCUCCCUCCCUUCAACAUCCCUCCAACCUCCUUCCAACCUCCCUCCCUUCAACAUCCCUCCAACCUCCUUCCACCAACCUCCUUCAACCUCCCUCCCUUCAACCUCCCUCCAACCUCCUUCCACCAACCUCCCUCCCUUCAACCUCCCUCCAACCUCCUUCCACCAAACUCCCUCCCUUCAACAUUCCUCCAACCUCCUUCCAACCUCCUUCCACCAACCUCCCUCCCUUCAACAUUCCUCCAACCUCUUUCCAACUUCCUCCACCCUCCUCUCUUCAACCUCCCUCUCUUCAACCGCCCUCUCUUCAACCUCCCUCUCUUCAACCUCCCUCUCUUCAACCUCCCUCUCUUCAACCACCCUCUCUUCAACCGCCCUCUAACCUUCCUCAGGAGAAGAAGUACCGCCUGCAGAACCAGGUGGACCGUAUGAAGGAGGCAACAUUUCUCCAACCUUCCUACAACCUUCCUACAACCUCCCUCCAACAGUCCUACAACCUUCCUCCACCCUCCGCCCAACCUUCCUCCAAUCUCCCCCCAAGCUCCCUCCAACCUUCCUCUAACCUUCCGUUCACCCCCAACCUCCCUCCAACCUUCCUCUAACCUUCUGUUCACCCCCAACCUCCCUCCAACCUGUUGAUCAUAUCACUCCAUUUUACGUCCUCCCUUUUCUACAUCCUUUCUUUUAGUUUAUCUCAACUAGGGUGAACAUGAUAGGAGAUAUUGUACAGCGAUCGACUGCAGUGUGACUUUUUGCAGUGUGGCAUCCAGUGAGCAGGCCUACACUGUUACAGAGCUCUCCAGAUAGAGACUGACUUCAUGGACAAACAGACACAGUUCUCUAUGCUUAUAGAAUAAUACAAUAGACUGUGUCUGCUCUAUGCAUUCUGUUUCUACCUGCAUCAUUCUGUAACAUGGUGCCUGCUGACUGACUGUGCCCUAGUGGAGACUUAACAGAGUGUAGCUGCAUCCUUCCUGGGAGACGAGGAAAGAUGGCUACUUAAGACUAUUGAAAUGCACCCCGUUGCCAUAGCGACUGCAUAAAUGAAUGGAAGUUACAUCAUUUCAACAAUGGUAACACCAAGGAAUUCAGCUCCCUCCAACUCCCUCCCUCCCUCCAACAUUUCUCCAACCUCCUCCCAACCUUCCUCAACAUCUCUCCAACCUCCCUUCAACUUUCCUCCAACCUUCCUGCCUCCCUCCCUUCAAUUUUCCUCCAACCUCCCUCCAACUUCUUCCAACCUCGCUCCCUCCAAGCUCCCUCCAACAUUCCUCCAUCUUCUCCCAACCUCCAACCUUCCCCAACCUCCCUCCAACCUCCAUCCAACCUCCAUCCAACCUUCCUCAGGAGAAGAAGUACUGCCUGCAGAACCAGGUGGACCGUAUGAAGGAGAAGGUGAAGACGGUGGAGGAGAAGAGUAAACACUUUGUCUGCCGCGUGGAGGAGAAGAGCCAUGACCUCAUACAGAAGUGGGAGGAGAAAUCACGGGAGUUCAUUGGUAACUUCCUGGAACUGUUCGGCCCAGAUGGAACAUGGAAACAGGUGUUUAGUGAGCGUAGUGGUCGGAUGAUCUCCUACGCCAUGUCACCUCGCGGGUCACCUAGCAACAGUCCACCCAGGCAACUGUCUCCAUCCCGUUCCCCAUCUCCUCCCUUUUGCUGGCCUCGGCCCAGGCCAGCCUCCCCCUCCUCACCCAAAGAGGCCUCAGCCUCCUUCAGUAGCAUGAGUGAAGAAGAUGAGAACGACAAGUAGUGCCCUGGACUGUGGAACACAUGCCAUGUUCAAAACAACUGGGAAGUCGGAAAUCUUUGACUUCCAACUUUAGUCAAUUCAAGACCAUUUAGAACGUGGAAAAAACGAGCUCCGACUGGUGAAAUCGUUUUCAACAGUAAACUAACUCGGAAUUCCAAAUCGGAAACUCUGACAUCUUUCUAGAACUCCAACCUGAAGAUCCCCCCCCCCCCCCACACACCUGAAAGUUGUGAGUUCGAGCCAGCAGUCACAGAUGGCUCGAACUCACAACUUCCACACACUGACAGCAAUGACGGGAUGCUGAAACUAUAUUUUCCAGGAAGUAGAUAUGCAAGACAGAGGUGGGUCAUGGGAAAUGUAGUCUAGUGCUACAGCACAAAGAAGCCAUCACAGUCUCUGUUGCCUGGGCAAUGAAGCAGAUGGGAGUGUAGAGAAGAUGAUGCGACUGAUCUGUUUUCGACUGCUCAGGUCUGACAGAGGCAGUAAAUAAAAUAGUGCCUGUUGAUCAUAUCACUUCAUCCUUUUAUGUCCUCCCUUUUUCUCUAUCCUUUCUUUUUUUAAUCUCAUUGUGAGAACAACUAGGGUGAACAUGAUAGGAGAUAUUGUACAGCAAUCGACUGCAGUGUGACUUUUUGCAGUGUGACAUCCAGUGAGCAGGCCUACACUGUUACAGAGCUCUCCAGAUAGAGACUGACUUCAUAGACAAACAGACACAGUUCUCUAUGCUUAUAGAAUAAUAUAAUAGACUGUGUCUGCCCUAUGCAUUCUGUUUCUACCUGCAUCAUUCUGUAACAUGGUGCCUGCUGACUGACUGACUGCCCUAGUGGAGACUUAACAGAGAGAAACACUGCCCUCUAGAGGAGUUGUAGUGUAGCUGCAUCCUUCCUGGUAGACGAGGAGAGAUGGCUACUUAAGACUAUUGAAAUGCACCCCACUGAAUCAUUAAUUUUCCAUAGGGAAUGCAUAAAUUAUGUAUGUAACACAUUUUUUGGGGGGGGGGGGGGGCAGGUAGGUUAGCAGUUAAGAGUGUUGGGGGCCUGUAACUGAAAUGUCGCUGGUUCGAAUCCUCGAGUUCACUAUGUGAAACCUCGAGCUGGCGAGGUGAAACAUCUGUUGAUGUGCCCUUGAGCUAGGUACUGAACCCUAAUUGUUCUGGAUAAGAGCGUCUGCUAAAUUACUCAACAAUGGUAACACCAUGGAACUCAGUACCUGAUUGGUGAUUGCAUAAUUAACAGAACACUUGGAACUUCAGUAUCAGGGAGGUUUGUCUCCCCACCUUUCCCAAUGUGGCCGCCUGCCCGGCCCAUCUCUUGUAAACAGCUACAGAAACUGAUCUAGCAAUUCAGUAGCAUUUAGAAUGUACAAUUGGGACUGAGCUUAUUCCGGGACCUUCCUUAGAGACCAGAGAACAAAGGUUAUAAUCCCAGUAUGGCCAGUGUUAUCCACAAAGGCCUGGCGUGGCCAUAGAAUCAGGUGGCUGGAACAAAAACCAGUACCGGCCAUUUGUGGAUUGGCUUGUUCACCUCUGCUGUGGUAGAAUCAAGAUGGUCUCAGGCCUAGCUAGUCACAACACCACACAGAACUGUGAACUCUUCAACUCAAUGUCUCUCGCUAUGACACAACUGUUCCACAGCAGAAAGCCACAUGAACACACUUGCUACCACACAACUCCUGAUCCGCCUUAGAGAGGUUCUUGUCCUGUAUGUAACCUAUGUAACCCUGCACUGUAUGGACAAACUUUGGAAUGUCUGUUUCUGUUUGUUAUGUUCUUGUUUUAUAAUGGCUUCAUAUGUAAAUAAAUAGAAAAGGAAAAUCAUUGAAUGAGAA